AGGGGAAUUUUUUACAAUGGAUGAAAGCCUGACGGAGUAAUGCCUCGUGGAGGUAGAAGGCCCAUGGGUUGCGAACCUCUUUUCCCAGAAAAGAACCAAUGAUGAUAUCUGGGGAAUAAAUAUUGGCUAACUCUAUGACAACAAUCACGGUAAUAUAGAGGUUGCAAGGGUUAUCCGAAAUAAUUGGGUGUAAAGCGUUUGUAGGUAGAUUUUUAAGUCUGCUGUCAAAUCUUAGAGCUUAACUUUGGACAGGCAGUGAAAACUACUAAGCUGGAUUACGGUAAGGGCAGAAGAAAUUUCCAGUGGAACAAUGAAAUAUGUAGAGAUCGGAAAGAACACCAAUGGUGAAAGCACUUUGUUGGGGCGACACUGAUAUUGAGAGAUGAAAGCCCCUAAGUGAAUG
rnacentral:rRNA from 1 species